CGUUAUUAUUGAAACGAGCGCUCGGAAUUCAAAAAUCAAACAUACCACCGGUCCGGCGACUGAUCGCCUCCUGCGCCGUCGUCGUUAUCGGAGGUGGCGGUUCGCCGCCACUCCGAGGCUGUCGCCGGCGUCUCAAUGCCCGGAAGCUUCACGAAAUUUUACAAGGAGUGGUGCACAGAAGAUCGACAUCGUCCAGGUGCGAUUUAGGUACUUGUUCUGUGCUAAUUUUGAAUUGUACGCUGUUUUCGCUACUUAAUUUGAAUGUGACUGGCUAUGAAGGAUUAUCUUGUACGUAUUAGCUGGCUGUACAUUAGUCUAUUCUCUUAUGCGGAAGAAGUCAUGUGUUGAGUACUAUCUUUGAGAAUAUUCAGUGAGCAUCUUACGCCAUGCCUGCGAUGCUGGCAUUGUAUGGUGGGGUUAACGAGCAGCAACUACGCAUGAAUGACAAACUAUGAUUCGUAGUCAUACCCCUCUCCAACCGAUAACGUGGUCUAUGAUGUUGAUACAAUAUUUAGGUUGUUUCCGAGACAUGAGGAUGAGGCUUGGGGUAUAAACAAUCAUUUCUGCUGUUGACAAUUUACCUUUCUUUUGCAAUUGUUCACAACUGAAGUAACAGUAAGGGCCUCUUCCUUCCAUAGAGCUGUUGUUCUUAGAGAAGGAUAGUCUUAGGAAGAUUCUUCUGCCACUUAUUUGAACCAAAUAGGACAAUAAAAAGGAAGAAGAAGAGGAGAAGAAUCUUUUCUUACUUCACACAAAUGCAAUGUGAUUGGGAAUAUGCAGAGGGGGGAAGAAGUGUCGAACCACCGCCCCAUGAUUAAUAUGCUAUUCUUGUUCCCAUGCUCUUCAUUUUUCUUCUUCUUUUCACUGGGUGAGACAGUUGAUAGUGCCAUGAGGAUUCAACAUACAUCUGAACUCAUAGGUUAGACCCCGCGGAAUCUCCUUUUUGUUUUCUUAGUGAGCCAAUUUCGCCAAAAUUGUCCAAUAUUUGUUGAGGUAGCAUACUCGUAGUUGAAAGUUGAUUCUUCAUCCGUUUCUUGUUUUCUCACUGUCAUUAAAUAUAACUAGGUAGUCGCUCUUAGCAGAAGGUUCCCUGAUAACAUUCUAUAAUCACAUUGUUAUAGGUAUGUAAGAACCAUUUAUCUUGAUAGGAUAAAUAAAUGAUAUAGGAGAAUGGAGAUUUUAAUUAAUCAGGCAAGAAAUUUUAUGUCAGGUUGCAGUUCCAGGCAGAUGCAUAGUUAACUGCAACUUUUUGCUAUUUUUAUGCCGUGAGAUUCUGACUAAAAUCAACCCAGAUUCACAUAACGCAUACCAAAGGGAAGAUUAGAUAUUAUAGAAAGAUGUGUAAUACAGUUCAGUUUACUUGAUGAUCACAGUCUGCAUGUUGAGUCCAUGCCGAAAAGGUGGCUCUUCAGAAAUUUUGCUACAAGAAUAUUGUAGCUUCAUGCCUUGUUUGCUAGAUACUGUUCAUGGUGUUGUCCUUUCUAUUUCAUCAUCCUAACUGUAUGCUGCAUUUAUCCAAAUUUUCUGACCCUUAUCAAAUCUUAGCUUGUUUGAUUACACUAAUGUGAAAAAUCAAUAUGGAAACUUGGUUAAUGAGGGAAUGUGGAUGCCGUUUUAUCUUGCAUACACAUCUUUUAAUUGUGCACAUGGUAACUUACACGUAGUGGUUGGGUUGCACGAUAUUGGAUUUUAUGAUGAGCAAUUUCUAGGAAUACCUAAUGGGGAAGAGAAAAAGAGAAUAGCAGAACAAACAUAAAGCUACUAGAAUAACAUGGAGAACAAAGCAAAAAAGUGCUCAUGGAACAGCACAUUCAGAAAGAGUACGAGGAAUGUCCCAUGAUGGUUCUCGUAGGAGUUUGAGGCAUAUGAUUCUUUGGCACGAGGCAGAAAUUGUUCCAUUCUUGAUGUAGACUCUUCUAAUCAUUCUCUGUGAUAUAAACUUUGCAUUUGAAUAUGAUGAGGGUUUGAGCGUCAUAUCAAGUUUCACGAGAAAACUUUCAUAUUUGGUUGUAAAUUGUAAUUUGAGGAGGAAAUGAUAUUGUGGACUAGCUUUUAAUGCAUUGUCCUUCAACCCCAAGGACUACAAUUUCGGGAUCACAACACGCUAAAGGAAAUAUGGAAAUAGGUAGCAUGCCGAUCACGUCAGCGGUUAGUUAACUGGAAGAGUGCCAGUCUGUGCACUACCAUCUGUCAUU